UUAAUACAUAUUUUCUUUUAUCUUCCUAAAACAUUCUAGAAUGUGUAAAUUUAUAAAUAUAUACAUUGUAGAACAAGAGAUCCUAUGGCAGUAAGUAAUAUAUCAAAGUGACAAAACCUGGUAAAUUCAGUGCUAGAAUUAACAAUGUUACCCUGAAUUACAGGUCAAUGAUGUCUCUAAUGCAGAUAGUAAGCAAAACAUUAAAAUAACUAAACAACUGUAAUUGAAAUGAUUCUAUUUGGGACACUCAUAUAUGUCCUCAAUUUUUAUCAAAUAUAUAUUAGAUUUAUUUCAUAAUAUCUGGGUUAAAUUAUUCCUUUGUGAUCAUUUUCUCUUCUUUCAGAUAUGACUUCUAAUAAAGAUCCUCAUUUGGCCUCAGGAUGUGUGUACAGUAAGCAAAAAAAAAAAAAAAUUCAAGAGUUCUCCCUAUUAUAUUUAUAUUUUUCACAUAUCCUUAAGGCCUUUAACAUUGCUAGUCAGUCACACACAGCAAGCAAUAUGAAAGUUCAUGAAGUUUUGCAGUAUAACAUUGUUAUUCUUCCAAGCUAUUUCUAAGACUUCCUUGUGCUUUAUUGAAAACGUCAGGGAAAAUAAAUAUGUCUUUUUAGACUCAGAACUUGAAAUGACACUGGACUCAAGAGAUCAUGUUUAUGAAGACAAGAGUUAUGUGUUAUGGCUUCUGUUUAUCUGCAGAAGAGCUGUCAAGGUGAAAGGGGUUGUGUGAGAAUGGCCUUAGGCCUGAGCCUAAGCAACUCCUAUAACACCAGAUUCAUGGGACCCCAAUAGAUCUCCAGGAGCUGAAUCCAAUGCAAUCACACAAGAAUAUUUAUUGUAAGCUCAAGCCUGAACUCACAACCAUUUCAGAUGCCGGGGUCCCAAAGACUGAGUUCCAACCCUUAGUUCAGUGAGGAUUAAUAAGAUUUUUGGGGAUACAGUAUGCAUCACAACAUCACACAGGCAAUCAUUUCGCAUUGCAGGAAAGUCAAACAACAACUCUUAACAUUGAUUAGCACAUUCAUUGGCAGGAACAAGUCAGGUAAGGGUGUUUGGUUAGUUCAAGUGGUGGAUACAUUUGAACUGAUUGGUUUAGGCCAUGAGGGGUUGCAAGAGUGUAUAUGAUAAACUUGCAGGGUUGUCUAAUCAUGUUACCAAUCACCAAAACUACUGGGAAGGUUACCUGGCAUUUCAGGUAUUUUCCCUGUCUCAUGCUAAUUGUGGUUACUAGGGGGUUGCUAUGGGUCCUAACCUAGUGUAACUAAGUCAGUGUCACCUGGCAUGGAAGAUCUCCCCAGUUAUUUACAGACAAACAACUCAGCAGGGUGGGUAUGUGCCUAGGAGCACUCUGGAUUUUUCCAAGGACAAGGAUCACUCCCCACUUUGGACAGGCUUUGCUCUCAGGUAGAGGCUGGUUUCUCAAAAAUGGAGUCACAUCAGUUUGUCACUCCAUUUAAAAAAUUCCAUUUUGAAACCUGAGGUCAUUAUUAGAGAUCAUUUAUCACCAGACAUAUCCACAGAGCCCACUAAUAUGGCC
rnacentral:lncRNA from 1 species